GAAUAGGCAUUCCAUUGGAUCACUAUACAGUAUCUCUGGUGCUUUUAUCUUCUGGUACACACUAAAUUAAUUUAUAAUAGAUGCGUAAUCUGCACUGGGAAAAGGACACAUGACGAUUAUGAGGGUAGUACAGAUGCCACAUUAAAAUUCGGUAAUACCUUGGAUAGCUAUUUACUGCAGUUUGCCGAUUUGAGAGUGUGUGUUUAAGACGUACGCGGUAUCUGUGUGUUUUACAGAUUAGGGGAAUGCUGGAGAGUCGUAGAUGAGAUCUCGUUAGAAAUUAUAGCAUGUGUGGAUAGAAAUGUUAGCAUGCUGAAUAGCCGGUAGAGAGAAUUACAAAAUAACUGUUUAGGCUCAUAUACAAUAACAUAGCAUUCGCACACCUACCAUCUGCAUGGCCAGGGGACUCUGACACCCCAAUCUGAGCCAGACCUUCAGAACCAGGUUGCAGGGCAAAGGUCAACAUACAGCCAUUUUGUGCUGAGUGCUUAGGGAAAUUAAUUAUUCAGACAAGUACAUUUUCUAACCAUUCAUAUUUAUUCCUAUUUACCUAAAGUGCAUGGUGUAGAGCUUGAAGAGCCCUGUUGUUGACCCCUGUUGAGCAUUGCUCAUCAUAUGAUGCAGAGCUGAAGUGCUCAAUCUGAUUAGCAUGGUGGGGAAACCUAGCAUGGUUUACAGUGCUUCCUCUCCACCAGGUAGAGGGCACCGAGGUUAGACCAUGAAUAAAUGAUGAAAUAAUUGCUGUCUGUUUUGAGAGUCUGGUCAUGCCUGUCCUGCGCGCUGGCUCAGGCAGGCAGGCCUUAGGUGUGUUCUGUAUUGGCUAAUCUUUCGUGGACAGAUUCACACGUGAACAGCGAGAAUUCAUCAAGACUCAUGUCACGUCAUGUGAAAUCUCAUGUUUCACAUUAUAAUAUGUAGUGCAGAUAUGUAUCAAUGUGAUAUGUCACUUUUUUUAUUUGACGUUGGGAAAUCGGAGAUAACAUCGAUGCCGCUGAGCCAGUGACCAGCUCUGGAACACUGAGCCAUUGACUGCACCAGGCGGCAGUAUAAUGAGUGGGUUGCUUUUUGACAAUAAGACACCGGACUGUCUACAUCCAUAACGUUUUGAACCUAGAAGAAGACUGAGAGACAGGAGUAGGCAAGAAGGAGUCGAAGGGAUUGGCAAGAAGAAUGUUGAGUUGUCCUGAAAAGCAUGGUUUGUCAUCUGAUUUUCUUUGAGCCUGGUGGAGAUAAAAUGCCCUGCCUUGUAGAAUGGUGGCAUCUAUCUGCAUCCAGGUUGAGGUUUGCUACCAGCAGGAACAUAGAACAAACACUCUGUCAUUACCAUAGCGACAGAAUGGUCCAAGGACCUCCAGAGCCCACUGACCAACUACCUGAGAUCUCUCCAAAGCACAUAGAAGUGAGUCUUCUGGGCUAUGGAACUCUAGAGCAGCACGUCUAUAGACCUGCCACCCUGUUGUCAGCUAUCCACAAACAGUUCCCUGAGGAAGGAUGCAACUAAGUAACUAACCAUUUAAUGGCCUAAUUUUGGGGGUGACCAAAUGCAAUAAAGUUUUGUAUAAACAACUAAUUUUCAUUUUUCAAUUGAUAGAUUGCAAACUUUUUCAGAGCAUGUUUGGCAUAUAUGGUCUUUAUUAAAUUGUUUUACUUCUGUGGUAAGAGCAAAGAGCUUAUGAUUCAAAAGAGAGAAUACAUGUUUAUUCAUGUAUUUCAGACACAUCACACAGGCAUGUCAACUAAAAUAUACUUUAUAUCCCAGUCAAGGUCAAAUCAACUAAGUCAGUGCUAUUGCCCAUAGUUCUUCCCAUACAUUUGAGUGGUUACAUACGAUACAUGGUGAUGGAAUAGCUGUGAGAGAGAGACUGUUGCUGUGCACACAGCAUAUUUUCUAGAAGCCUAGCUCCAGUCCACUUAGCUAGGCUAAGGUGAAAUCAAACUCAAACUGAUGAUGGGAAUUAACAUAUGUUAUACAGUUGAAGACUUAGGUUGGAGUCAUUAACUUGU